CCUACGGGAGGCAGCAGUGAGGAAUAUUGGUCAAUGGACGAGAGUCUGAACCAGCCAAGUAGCGUGAAGGAUGACUGCCCUAUGGGUUGUAAACUUCUUUUAUAUGGGAAUAAAAUGUGUCACGUGUGGGAUUUUGUAUGUACCAUAUGAAUAAGGAUCGGCUAACUCCGUGCCAGCAGCCGCGGUAAUACGGAGGAUCCGAGCGUUAUCCGGAUUUAUUGGGUUUAAAGGGAGCGUAGGUGGCUUGUUAAGUCAGUUGUGAAAGUUUGAGGCGCAACCGUAAAAUUGCAGUUGAAACUGGCAGUCUUGAGUACAGUAGAGGUGGGCGGAAUUCGUGGUGUAGCGGUGAAAUGCUUAGAUAUCACGAAGAACUCCGAUUGCGAAGGCAGUUCACUGGACUGCAACUGACACUGAGGCUCGAAAGUGUGGGUAUCAAACAGGAUUAGAUACCCCGGUAGUC
rnacentral:rRNA from 1 species